AGAGGUGGAUAGAUACAAUGUCAGUAGUUUGCUGUCUUCUCCCUCACAGCACAUUCCUUUUGAAAGCAGGUUUCCUUUUUUUCAGUAGUAGGUUUUGGAGCAGCAGGAAGAGAGAUAAAUCCUAAGGUCGCAGCUGCCUUCUUGGUUCGGAUUGUUCUCUGUAACUCGGGAACAUGAAGUUGGAAUCGCUAGUAAUCGCGGAUCAGCAUGCCGCGGUGAAUAU
rnacentral:rRNA from 11 species